rnacentral:rRNA from 1 species
CCUACGGGUGGCAGCAGUGAGGAAUAUUGGUCAAUGGACGAGAGUCUGAACCAGCCAAGUAGCGUGAAGGAUGACUGCCCUAUGGGUUGUAAACUUCUUUUAUAUAGGAAUAAAAUGAUGCACGUGUGCCAUUUUGUAUGUACCAUAUGAAUAAGGAUCGGCUAACUCCGUGCCAGCAGCCGCGGUAAUACGGAGGAUCCGAGCGUUAUCCGGAUUUAUUGGGUUUAAAGGGAGCGUAGGUGGGUUGUUAAGUCAGUUGUGAAAGUUUGCGGCUCAACCGUAAAAUUGCAGUUGAUACUGGCAGUCUUGAGUACAGUAGAGGUAGGCGGAAUUCGUGGUGUAGCGGUGAAAUGCUUAGAUAUCACGAAGAACUCCGAUGGCGAAGGCAGCUCACUGGACUGCAACUGACGCUGAGGCUCGAAAGCGUGGGGAUCGAACAGGAUUAGAUACCCUUGUAGUC